rnacentral:rRNA from 1 species
UACGAAGGGGGCUAGCGUUGCUCGGAUUGACUGGGCGUAAAGGGUGCGUAGGCGGUUUGGUAAGUCUGAUGUGAAAUCUAUGGGCUCAACUCAUAGUCUGCAUCGGAAACUGCCGGGGCUUGAGUGUGGGAGAGGUGAGUGGAAUUCCUGGUGUAGCGGUGAAAUGCGCAGAUAUCAGGAGGAACACCGGUGGCGAAGGCGGGUCUCUGGGCAGUAACUGACGCUGGAGGAGCGAAAGCGUGGGGAGCGAACAGG